rnacentral:lncRNA from 1 species
CUCUUCUUAUUUUCAAGUCAUUGUGUGGCAUCGCAAGGCAUUCUGGUGCAUUUAAGAUGCUUUUUGUAAUUUAUAGCUUGACUGUUUCAUUAACCAUAAACUAAUUUACUUCUUUUUAGGGUAAAAAAAAAAAAAAACAUCUUAUAGGUUGACUAUACCUUUAAAUGUGGAAGAUGGUCUCUAGAAACAUGCACAAAAGCAUGCAUGCAAAGAAACACACACAAGGAUCUCUGGUCAGGUGCUCGCAUGUGUUCACAAAGUCAUCUACAAUCAGUGAUUUGCUGUGAAUUAAUGACUCUAUCCUACCCACACUCCAUCCUCCACUCACGGAAAGGCCCUUUCUAAUUGGACAUUGAUUGUCAAGGCCCUCCAAUCUCGUUUGAAUAUCUAGAGCAUGUUAAUUGAAGAAUGGGACUGGGUGUAUCUUCAUGCUUAAGGGAAGGAGAGUGACAUAGACAAAUGAAUGUUCUCUCACAGACACAAUUACAAGAGCUCACCCAUGAGCAAACUUACACACCACAGAAUAAACAUGAGCUCACGGUCUUUCUCUUCAUGUAUGUUUCAGGCUCCCUAAUGGCUCUGGCUGGCUGCUGUGCUGGAGUCGGUUGGCCCUGGGUUUGCCCUCUCACUGAUCAGUCUCUAAUCCUCGCUGAUGGGGGUCUGCACUGGGAUUAGAGGGGCACGGGACCACAUCUCUUGGGCGGCUGGUCGUCCCCCCUGGAGAGAGCAAGCUCAGAAAUAUAUGCUGAGAGGGGAACUCUGAGAAGCUGACUGAAACGAUACUCAGACGAGACAUUAUUAGCAUGCUCACCAAGGCAAAGAUCAGCUUUAUUUUUGUUCAAACUUUAUUACUGAAAAAAACCUGAACCCUAAGUAUUAAAUUCUGGCGCGUAACUCAUCCAACACUGUUUGUGAAUCUUAAAUUUUGCUUUUGGUGAGAAGAGAUGUACGAUUUAGCUUAUGUUCAAUAGCCCUUCUUGGAUUUGUAACCACAUUGUGAUAGCAAAAAAAUAAAAAAUUCCCUUUGAUGGUCAUUUUAGUGUAUUUUGAUUGUAUUGAUGUUUUGCAAAGAAAAGUAUUUACUACUGUUCAAAAGUUUGGGAUAAGUUUUUUUUUUUUUUUUUUUACAAAAUUAAUAUUUUUAAUGAGCAAGGAUACAUUGAAUUGAUAUAAAAAGACUAAAUACACUUAUCAUGUAUAAAUAAUCAUGGUUUCCACAUUAAUCAGCACAACAUUUUUCAACAUUGAUAAUAAAU